GAUGAAGAACGUAGUGAAAUGCGAUAAGUAAUGUGAAUUGCAGAAUUCAGUGAAUCAUCGAAUCUUUGAACGCACCUUGCGCUCUUUGGUAUUCCGAAGAGCAUGCCUGUUUGAGUGUCAUGAAAAUAUCAACCUUGACUUGGGUUUUGUGCUCUAGUCUCGGCUUGGAAUUGGGUGCUUGCCGCUUUUACGAGCGGCUCACCUUAAAUGUAUUAGCUGGAUCUGUCUUUGAGACUUGGUUUGACUUGGCGUAAUAAGUAUUUCGCUAAGGACAUUCUUCGGAGUGGCCUCGUUUCUAGGACGCUUGUCCGCUUUCCAAUACAAGUUCCACCUCGUGGACAUGACUUUUUAUUAUCUGGCCUCAAAUCAGGUAGGACUACCCGCUGAACUUAAGCGUAUCAAUAAGCGGAGGA
rnacentral:misc_RNA from 1 species